CGCCGCCCUCAGGCCUCUCUGUGGUUGGGCUUCUCUCCUCGGGGCUGUGGAGGCUGCUGAUGAGUGAGGCAAAAACCACCUGGACAACAAAAUUAUGCCUGAGAAAGAUGACCUCUGCAGUGUGAGGAAUGACUCAACACAGAAAACCAGGCUGUCUGCCUUCUGAGCUCUAACCCUAGAGCCCCCAACCCUGGCUUCUGCUCACACAGCUCCAGUCCACUCUGCCCUCCCUCUGCUGGAGCCCAAGAGCCACUCUUCAGCUGCAGUGACAAUGACCAACCCACCUGCCAACAGAGUCCCUGUCCUCCCUCGGCAGCCCGGCUCAGGAAUCCCAACAGAAGACGUGAAGAGAGAACAUUGAGGACCCCACACCCUCAUUCAGCCAUCUCAGCUCCUUGGCCGUCUGCCGUGUUGAGCGAGUGCGGGCUGCUGGCCCGAGCUGCACAAUGUUGCACCCAGGACUACGCCGGGCCUGGAGCCCACAGCUGGGGCUCAUGCCUUCUCCUCGAUGAAGGCAGACGAGUUACAGUGAAAACUGGCUUUUUGUACUUUGACACCAGGGGUUUGGCAUCUGGCAAAAACAGUCCCGGAUCUAAAAGAAGCCUGGCCGAGCUGGGAAGGCUAGUGGGGUGUGUGUGGGGACAGGCCUGUGACGGUAGCUCGAGGUGUCAACUUGGCCUGUCUGGUCCAACUUUGGGUGUUGCUUCUUAAAAGACAUCUCAUUAGCGUGGUAGUUGGUACCAGUGAGGUCCUGCAGGCCAGCCUGCGACAUCACCCAAGCUCGAUUUCCCGCCUGCUGACCCGUCUCAGGCCCGCUAGCGUUCAUGUGCAUACCCACCCGCACCCUCCUGGUUUCCUCGGGGACCCUGACCGAUGCAGGGCUCCUAGAAGCUGCAGGUGGAAUGUCCUGUGCAGGAGGCGCUGGGUGGCUCACUGCACCCCACUUCCAGGGACAUCUGCAUCUGCUCAUUCCGACCAGGCUCUUGUGCAGGGACAGGCCCCUUUGGCCUCAGUGGAAUGGAGGGGCACAGGCCAUCGGCUACAGCACGUGAUGGUGUGUGAUUUUGUAAAUUCCCUGAAAAUCCAGCAGUUACACUGCAGGUACGUUUGGGAAGGCUUUUCAGGGCAGCAGAGACUGGCAACUGAAGGGAUGUGACCAGCGGGACUGCAGAGCCCCCUAACCCAGCAGCUCAGGGCUCGCACCUGUGCCCAC